rnacentral:rRNA from 1 species
ACUCCUACGGGAGGCAGCAGUGGGAAUCUUGGACAAUGGGGGCAACCCUGAUCCAGCCAUGCCGCGUGAGUGAUGAAGGCCUUAGGGUCGUAAAGCUCUUUCGCCUGUGAAGAUAAUGACGGUAGCAGGUAAGAACCGACCGUACAUCCGUGCCAGCAGCCGCGGUAAUACGGAGGGGGUUAGCGUUGUUCGGAAUUACUGGGCGUAAAGCGCACGUAGGCGGAUCGGAAAGUUGGGGGUGAAAUCCC